rnacentral:rRNA from 1 species
AUGAUACGCGAGGAACUUACCUGGGCUCGAACGUAAGAUGACUGUAGGUGAAAGCUUACAUCUCUUCGGAGUCAUUUUACGAGGUGCUGCAUGGUUGUCGUCAGCUCGUGCCGUGAGGUGUCGGGUUAAGUCCCAUAACGAGCGCAACCCCUACCUUUAGUUGCCAUCAGGUUAAGCUGGGGACUCUAAAGGAACUGCCUACGCAAGUAGUGAGGAAGGCGGGGAUGACGUCAAAUCAGCACGGCCCUUACGUCCAGGGCUACACACGUGCUACAAUGGCCGAUACAGAGGGCAGCUACCUGGUGACAGGAUGCAAAUCUCCAAAGUCGGUCUCAGUUCGGAUCGGAGUCUGCAACCCGACUCCGUGAAGUUGGAUUCGCUAGUAAUCGCGCAUCAGCCAUGGCGCGGUGAAUACGUUCCCGGGCCUU